GAAUUCCAAGGAAGGAAUGAUGUUCUCAUUGAGACUCAAGAAAAGGAUUCUGAGCCUCAGCUGUGAAGGAACCUCUUGGUACCUGACCUUCCUUAAUUAAGG
ensembl:snoRNA Gm22059 predicted gene, 22059